CCUACGGGAGACAGCAGUGAGGAAUAUUGGUCAAUGGGCGGAAGCCUGAACCAGCCAAGUCGCGUGAGGGAAUAAGGCCCUACGGGUCGUAAACCUCUUUUGCCGGGGAGCAAGGGCGGGGACGUGUCCCGUCCCGGAGAGUACCCGGAGAAAAAGCAUCGGCUAACUCCGUGCCAGCAGCCGCGGUAAUACGGAGGAUGCGAGCGUUAUCCGGAUUUAUUGGGUUUAAAGGGUGCGUAGGCGGGCUUUUAAGUCAGCGGUAAAAAUUCGGGGCUCAACCCCGUCCGGCCGUUGAAACUGGGGGCCUUGAGUGGGCGAGAAGAAGGCGGAAUGCGUGGUGUAGCGGUGAAAUGCAUAGAUAUCACGCAGAACCCCGAUUGCGAAGGCAGCCUUCCGGCGCCCUACUGACGCUGAGGCACGAAAGUGCGGGGAUCGAACAGGAUUAGAUACCCCAGUAGUC
rnacentral:rRNA from 1 species